CCGGUAUGACGCUCUUUCUUCUCUAGAUUCUUAAUGGUUUCUUUGUGAACUCGAUGCUGUUCUUCGAUUUAUAGGUCGGAAUGGGGGCUUUUAACUUGUCGUUGAGGUUGUUCCUCUGCUUCAUGAAUAUCCGGAUCUGAUGGCUUUAGAUCUACUCGCAUGUUGUGCAAAUGCUGUGUUUUUGUUUGCUUGAUCCGUGUUGUUCUUCCUCGUGAGUGGCUAGAUCUGGCCAUAGUCCUAAAUAAGAUAGUCUGCAACCAGAUUUCUUGUCCUUGCAUCGUUGCUUGAGGCCAGAUUUGGUAUAUUAUUUGGCCAAUCACCGAUGAUUGUACUUUUGACUGCCUGGAUCUGAGAGUUCCGGCGAGAAAGCUUAACAGCUUAAGUGAAUCGAUCGCCCAUUUUGAUUUCGUUGAUGAUGAUUAGAUCUAGAUAGAUUGUGCCUUGUUCUUCUGUGGCCUCGGUGACUAGGGUUACAAUUGAGAAGAAGAUUUCUUUUUAUGGAAAGGGGUAAGAUUGCUAUGUUGCAGGAGCUUUAUGCACUGAAUCACUCUUAUUAUUAGAUCCAGUCACUAUCAUAUGCCAUUUGAUGUUGCUAAUGUCUGGUUUCUGCUGCGUCUCUGUUAUGGCACACUCUCGAUCCUGUGUCAUAAAGUACCUCACUUUUACUUCGGUGUAAUUUCUGGUUCUCGAUGCUGCUUAAUGUCAAAUUAUGCCUCACUCAUAGUUCUCCUAACUCUGUUUUAAGAUCCUCGAGUGUUGAUUUGCUUCCUGUGGUGGCUUGCGUUGCCGGGGAUCUUAUCCACAUUAAAGUGAUCCACUUUGCUAUCGCGUUGUUGGAUUCUGAUUCUUGAUUAGAUAGAUUCUUUUGAUAUUCCCUCUGUUCCUUGGAUUCUGAUUCUUGGGCAAGUAGAUUCUCUUGACAUUCCAUGCGCAUUACUUUGUUGAUGCUGACGAGUUCUUGUCGGAAUCAGAUUGCCUCUUUGCUGCCUUUCUCUAUGGAACAUUCUACUCGGACAUAGGUGAUAGAAGAUAAGAUAAAUCUUAUCUAUUUUAUUGAGGAAAAUUCUCUAUUCUAUUGAGGAAAAUCCUCCCUCCUAAUCCCUAUAAAUAGGAGAGGGACAUGCUAAUGCAUUAAGCUAAAGUUACUUCAAUAAAGCUUCUUAUCUUAUUCUUUCUAUCAUGGUAUCAGAGCUGCUUGCCUCUCUUCUCUCUUCUCGCUGCCGACUUAUCACUGUUGCUUCUCCAUCUGGCAAAAGAAAAAGCUUUCUACCAUUGCUUUUCCAUCGUCAGCCCAUCGGUGCGACAAAUCUUUCCUCUUCGGCGAACGACAAUUGUCUUCUCCACUACCACUCUGCGCCAACGUCCGUUCCCUUCAUCUGCGGUGUCUCUAGUGCUGUGCUCACCAGCAUUGUCCCACCUUUCUUUCUCGCUGUAGCUACCUCCUACCUCUUUUGAUGUAGCUUCCACCUCUGCUGCAGCUUCCUCCUCUGCUGCACCUUCCUCUUAUGUUGCAGCUUCCUCCUUUGUUGUAGUAGCAUCACUACAACAUUACUGUAGAUUUCUCUUCUGCCAUCAUCGCACCUUUCUCUUAUGUUGCAGCUUCCUCCUUUGUUGUAGUAGCAUCACUACAACAUUACUGUAGAUUUCUCUUCUGCCAUCGUCGCAGCCAUCGCAGCCACAACCGUCGCCAUCGCAGCCACAACCGUCGCCAUCGCAGCCACAACCGUCGUUGUCGCAGCCGCAACCGCCGCCGUCGCAAUCGCAACCACCGUCGUCGUAAUCGCAACCGUCGCCGUCGCAAUCGUAGUCGCUGCCAUCGCAGCCGCAGUCGCAGCCAUCAUCGUCAAAACUAUAGUAACAACAAUAGUAGCAGCAAUAUGCUCUUGCCCUACUCAUGAAGCCUCUUGCUUGUAAACCAUAUUUUGGAGCAUAUUUUGGAGCACCAUCUUGGGGGGGCAUGAUAGAAGAUAAGAUAAUCUUAUCUAUUCUGUUGAGGAAAAUCUUCUAUUCUAUUGAGGAAAAUUCUUCCUCUAAUCCCUAUAAAUAGGAGAGGGAAAUGAAUUUUAUUGGGAUCAAAUGUAUCAACUGCUCAAUCAUUUAGAGUUGCUUAUUUUUGUGUUUAUUCUGCAGCUUCGACGCCAUGGCUACCGACGAAACCUUCCUUUUCACCUCCGAGUCUGUGAACGAGGGACACCCUGACAAGCUCUGCGAUCAGAUCUCCGACGCUGUUCUCGAUGCUUGCUUGGAGCAAGACCCCGACAGCAAGGUCGCCUGCGAGACCUGCACCAAGACCAACAUGGUCAUGGUGUUCGGGGAGAUCACCACCAAGGCCAAUGUCGACUACGAGAAGAUCGUCCGCGACACGUGCCGCGUCAUCGGGUUCGUGUCCGACGAGGUCGGCCUGGAUGCCGACCGCUGCAAGGUGCUCGUCAACAUCGAGCAGCAGUCCCCUGACAUCGCCCAGGGCGUGCACGGCCACUUCACCAAGCGCCCCGAGGAGAUCGGCGCGGGCGACCAGGGUCACAUGUUUGGGUACGCCACCGACGAGACUCCGGAGUUCAUGCCCCUCAGCCACGUCCUCGCCACCAAGCUCGGCGCGCGCCUCACCGAGGUGCGCAAGAACGGCCCCUGCCCCUGGCUGAGGCCCGACGGCAAGACCCAGGUGACGGUGGAGUACCGCAACGACCACGGCGCCAUGGUGCCCAUCCGCGUCCACACCAUCCUCAUCUCCACCCAGCACGAUGAGACCGUGACCAACGACGAGAUCGCCGCCGACCUCAAGGAGCACGUCAUCAAGCCCGUCGUCCCCGAGCAGUACCUCGACGAGAAGACCAUCUUCCACCUCAACCCCUCGGGCCGGUUCGUCAUCGGCGGCCCCCACGGCGACGCCGGGCUCACCGGCCGCAAGAUCAUCAUCGACACCUACGGCGGCUGGGGCGCGCACGGCGGCGGCGCCUUCUCCGGCAAGGAUCCCACCAAGGUGGACCGCAGCGGCGCCUACAUCGUGAGGCAGGCGGCCAAGAGCAUCGUCGCCAGUGGGCUCGCCCGCCGCUGCAUCGUGCAGGUCUCGUACGCCAUCGGCGUGCCGGAGCCGCUCUCGGUGUUCGUGGACACCUACGGCACCGGCAAAAUCCCGGACAAGGAGAUCCUGAGCAUUGUGAAGGAGAACUUCGACUUCAGGCCUGGGAUGAUCACCAUCAACCUGGACCUGAAGAGGGGAGGCAGUGGCAGGUUCCUGAAGACUGCGGCCUACGGGCACUUUGGGAGGGACGACCCCGACUUCACUUGGGAGGUGGUGAAGCCCCUCAAGUGGGAGAAGCCCGCCGCCUAGAACCCAGCUCGGCCUUCCUUACUGCUAC
rnacentral:lncRNA from 1 species